AUUGAACGCUGGCGGCAGGCCUAACACAUGCAAGUCGAGCGGUAGAGAGGUGCUUGCAUCUCUUGAGAGCGGCGGACGGGUGAGUAAUGCCUAGGAAUCUGCCUAGUGGUGGGGGAUAACGUUCGGAAACGGACGCUAAUACCGCAUACGUCCUACGGGAGAAAGCGGGGGAUCUUCGGACCUCGCGCCAUUAGAUGAGCCUAGGUCGGAUUAGCUAGUUGGUGAGGUAAUGGCUCACCAAGGCGACGAUCCGUAACUGGUCUGAGAGGAUGAUCAGUCACACUGGAACUGAGACACGGUCCAGACUCCUACGGGAGGCAGCAGUGGGGAAUAUUGGACAAUGGGCGAAAGCCUGAUCCAGCCAUGCCGCGUGUGUGAAGAAGGUCUUCGGAUUGUAAAGCACUUUAAGUUGGGUAGGAAGGGUAGUAACCUAAUACGUUGCUACUUUG
rnacentral:rRNA from 1 species